rnacentral:tRNA from 1 species
GGGGAUAUAGCUCAGGAGGGAGAGCGUCUGCGUCCGCAUCGCAGAGGUCAAGGAUUCGAGUCCCCCUAUCUCUACCA